GGCGGCGUGCUAUACACUGCAGUCGAGCGAAUCGACGGGAGCUUGCUCCCUGAGAUUAGCGGCGGACGGGUGAGUAACACGUGGGCAACCUGCCUAUAAGACUGGGAUAACUUCGGGAAACCGGAGCUAAUACCGGAUACGUUCUUUUCUCGCAUGAGAGAAGAUGGAAAGACGGUUUACGCUGUCACUUAUAGAUGGGCCCGCGGCGCAUUAGCUAGUUGGUGAGGUAAUGGCUCACCAAGGCGACGAUGCGUAGCCGACCUGAGAGGGUGAUCGGCCACACUGGGACUGAGACACGGCCCAGACUCCUACGGGAGGCAGCAGUAGGGAAUCUUCCGCAAUGGACGAAAGUCUGACGGAGCAACGCCGCGUGAACGAAGAAGGCCUUCGGGUCGUAAAGUUCUGUUGUUAGGGAAGAACAAGUACCAGAGUAACUGCUGGUACCUUGACGGUACCUAACCAGAAAGCCACGGCUAACUACGUGCCAGCAGCCGCGGUAAUACGUAGGUGGCAAGCGUUGUCCGGAAUUAUUGGGCGUAAAGCGCGCGCAGGUGGUUCCUUUAAGGUCUGAUGUGAAAAGCCACGGCUCAACCGGUGGGAGGGUCCAUUUGGGAAACUUGGGGAAACUUGGAGUGCCAGAAGAGGAAAGUGG
rnacentral:rRNA from 1 species